rnacentral:rRNA from 1 species
UGACGCAGCAACGCCGCGUGGGGGAUGAAGGCCUUCGGGUUGUAAACCCUUUAGGGAGGGACGAAAUUGACGGUACCUCCAGAAUAAGCCCCGGCCAACUACGUGCCAGCAGCCGCGGUGAUACGUAGGGGGCAAGCGUUGUCCGGAAUCAUUGGGCGUAAAGAGCUCGUAGGCGGCUUAGUAAGUCGGUCGUGAAAGCCCGAGGCUCAACUUCGGGACUGCGGUCGAUACUGCUAUAGCUAGAGUUUGGUAGAGGAGAACGGAAUUCCCGGUGUAGCGGUGGAAUGCGCAGAUAUCGGGAGGAACACCUGUAGCGAAGGCGGUUCUCUGGGCCAAUACUGACGCUGAGGAGCGAAAGCGUGGGGGAGCAAACAGGAUUAGAUACCCUGGUAGUCCACGCUGUAAACGUUGGGCACUAGGUGUGGCGACCCGACCAACGGUUGCCGUGCCGAAGCUAACGCAUUAAGUGCCCCGCCUGGGGAGUACGGCCGCAAGGCUAA